rnacentral:tRNA from 1 species
GGGUGGAUGACAGAGCGGUCAAUUGUACCAGACUGUAAAUCUGGCGCCUUCGGGCUACGGGGGUUCGAAUCCCUCUCCACCCACCA